AUGUUACAUGUCUGUCUUUUGCAUGUGUCCUUUACUAAAUGAGAUGUCUUUCAUGUCUAUUUCUUCUUGUGUAUAGGGGUGAUUGAUACCAGCACAGGUUGGUUCUCUGUUUCAGUGGCAGUGUCUGUCACAGGGGUUGGAGUAAGCGCAGGACGUGACACCGGGGCUUGAGUAGCCACAAUGUCUAUCAUUGGGAUUGUAGAAGCCUCAGUGCCUGUUGUUUUGUUGUCAGAUCCAGAGACCUCUUCCCCCUGAGGGCACUGAGUAGUGUAGAACAGGGCUCUGUAGGCAUUAGCCAGGCCCCAACAGGUUGCAGUGAUUUGUGUCUCUCUGGAAUUGUCAGGGUGACAGCAUACUUCUUCUUUUACUCGUUUUUCAGAAUUCUGCAGAUUUUCAGGGGUUCCAAAAUGUUGGAGACAGUCACUGUCCUAGAUCCACACAAAAGCUGGAGGAAGCCACUGUCACAACAAAGGACUGGAGGACCAUUCCUGGUAACUGGGAAAUUCUACAGGUGCACCCACCUACAGGCAAAGAGGCUUCUAACUUCACUGUGACAGUAGCCCAACUUUUAUGUUGUUGAAUAAACAAGCUACUAUUAUUUUUAGUAUAGAAACAUCUGGUUUUAUUCUCCUGCUGGUUUUCUCCCAAAGCCUGGCCAGGUCUCAAGGAGGAACCAAAGGAGUUGUCUUUGUUCGUACAACCCCAGACAAGGCCGGAUGUGGCCUUGUCUGGUUUCUAAAUACAGAAACGUAAAUACAUGUUUUGCCGAUGAA